GACGAACGCUGGCGGCGUGCUUAACACAUGCAAGUCGAACGGUGAAGCCCUUCGGGGUGGAUCAGUGGCGAACGGGCGAGUAACACGUGAGCAACCUGCCCCUGGCUCUGGGACAACCACUGGCAACGGUGGCUAAUACCGGAUACGACCCGCCUCCGCCUCGAGGGUGGGUGGAGAGUUUUUCGGGGGGGGGUGGGCUCGCGGCCUAUCAGCUUGUUGGUGAGGUGAAGGCUCACCAAGGCGACGACGGGUAGCCGGCCUGCGAGGGCGACCGGCCGCACUGGGACUGAGACACGGCCCAGACUCCUCCGGGAGGCAGCAGUGGGGAAUAUUGCACAAUGGGCGAAAGCCUGAUGCAGCGACGCCGCGUGGGGGAUGACGGCCUUCGGUUUGUAAACCUCUUUCAGCUCCGAAGAAGCGAAAGUGACGGUAGGAGCAGAAGAAGCACCGGCUAACUACGUG
rnacentral:rRNA from 1 species